rnacentral:tRNA from 1 species
GCCUCCGUAGCUCAGAUGGCAGAGCGUCCGCCUUGUAAGCGGAUGGUCGCCGGUUCGACUCCGGCCGGAGGCU